rnacentral:lncRNA from 1 species
CUUCAACUUCUUUUCUUUCACUCUUCUUGAAAAAUAGUCUUUUUCCUGAGGAGCCCUUGAGAUAUCUUAGGAUCUUGUAGACUGCUUCCAGAUGACUUUGGUGAAUGCAUGUGUUGACUUACGUGACUUACUGUGAAUGUAAUGUCAAGUCUAAUAUGUGACAAAUAUAUUAGUUUUCCUACUAAUCUUUGAUACAUGUCUGUUUCCACCGAUUCCCCAACGUCUUCAGAUCUCUUUCCCGCUUCCAUGGGUGUGUCACUUGGCUUGCAUCCUAACACGCCGGUUUCGGCUAGGAGAUCAAGAAUAUAUUUUCGCUGUGAGAGACUAAUGCCCUUUCUCGAUCUUGCAAUCUCCAUUCCCAAAAGUACUGCAUUAUUCCCAGAUCUUUCACUUCAAAUUCAGUGGCAAGGCUCUUUUUCAGUCUUUCCAUUUCCACUGCAUUGUCUCCUAUUAAAAUUAUAUCAUCAACAUAUACUAUUAAGAUUGUCUUAGUCCCGUCUUCAAAUUGUUGAAGAAAUAUAGUGUGAUCUGAUUGUUCCUGUCAAUAUCCUUGACCCUUCAACACCUUUGCAAAUUUAUCAAACCAUGCCCUUGGUGACUGUUUGAGUCCAUAUAAAGAUUUCUUGAGUCUGCAUACCCAAUUUUUCUCAUUCAUUUUACAAAAACUUAGUGGUAAUGUCAUGAAAACGUCUUCUUCCAAUUCUCCAUUUAAAAAGGCAUUUUUAAUGUCUAGUUGUUGAAGUGGCCAAUCCAAAUUUGUAGCUAACGACAGAAGAACUUGAAUUGUGUCAUUUUUGCUACUGGUGCAAAUGUUUUUGUGUAGUCGAUGCCAUAGGUUUGUGUGUAUCCUUUUGCAACCAACUGGUCUCUUCCCUUUUGGUAGGUCCAAUACUUCCCAAGUUUCAUUUUUCUCCAAUGCUCUCAUUUCCUCCAAUAUUGCAUCUCUUCAUUCAGGAAUCUCCAAGGCUUCUUGGAUAUUUUUUGGGAUUUCUGUACUGUCUUGAUGAGAUGUGAAAGCACGAAAUUCAGUAGAUAAGAGAUUAUAAGACAUGAAUUUUGAAAUAGGGUGGAGAGUACAUGACCGAGUUUGCUUUCUAAGAGCAAUGGGUAAAUCUGAAGUUUCUGACGCUUCAUAAGGAUGUGGAGCUAUCAUCGGGUCUGACUCUUUUGGUGCUUCGGAUGUGAGAGUCUCCUUGUACUUUGAUUUUGGCUUUUGUGAAUAGACUAGUAUCUCUUUAUUAUUUUGUUUUUCUACAUCCCCCCUGAGUUUAAGUUCCCUUCUGUAAAUGGCAUAUUCAAUGGUGGAAUAGGUUUUAUGGGUGGUGUAGGUUCAGGAGGAGAAGGAUCGAAAUCCAAGAACCUAUCUUCAUGUAAGUUCUCCCCCUGAAGACAGGUUUUUUCAAAAUAUGGUUUAGUUUCGAAGAAGGUAACAUCCAGGCUUACAAAGAGUCUUUUUGUAGAGGGAUCAUAACAUUUGUAGCCCUUUUGAGUAGGGAAUAACCAAUCAAUACACAUUUAAUAGCUUGAAGAUCAAGUUUACUUCUGUGAUGGGAGUGGAUAUAGACAAAAGCGGUACAUCCAAAUACUCUUAGUGAUAGAUUAGAGUCGAGACGUGAGGUUGGAAAGAACUUUUG